AGAGUUUGAUCAUGGCUCAGGAUGAACGCUGGCGGCGUGCCUAACACAUGCAAGUCGAACGGAGCACUGAGACUUCGGUUUUUGUGCUUAGUGGCGGACGGGUGAGUAACGCGUGAGCAAUCUGCCUUUCAGAGGGGGAUAACGACUGGAAACGGUCGCUAAUACCGCAUAACGUAUUUUGCAGGCAUCUGCGAGAUACCAAAGGAGCAAUCCGCUGAAAGAUGAGCUCGCGUCUGAUUAGAUAGUUGGUGAGGUAACGGCCCACCAAGUCGACGAUCAGUAGCCGGACUGAGAGGUUGAACGGCCACAUUGGGACUGAGACACGGCCCAGACUCCUACGGGAGGCAGCAGUGGGGAAUAUUGCGCAAUGGGGGAAACCCUGACGCAGCAACGCCGCGUGAUCGAAGAAGGUCUUCGGAUUGUAAAGAUCUUUUAUCAGGGACGAAGAAAGUGACGGUACCUGAUGAAUAAGCUCCGGCUAACUACGUGCCAGCAGCCGCGGUAAUACGUAGGGAGCGAGCGUUAUCCGGAUUUACUGGGUGUAAAGGGCGAGUAGGCGGGCUGGUAAGUUGGAAGUGAAAUGUCGGGGCUUAACCCCGGAACUGCUUUCAAAACUGCUGGUCUUGAGUGAUGGAGAGGCAGGCGGAAUUCCUAGUGUAGCGGUGAAAUGCGUAGAUAUUAGGAGGAACACCAGUGGCGAAGGCGGCCUGCUGGACAUUAACUGACGCUGAGGAGCGAAAGCGUGGGGAGCAAACAGGAUUAGAUACCCUGGUAGUCCACGCCGUAAACGAUGGAUACUAGGUGUGGGAGGUAUUGACCCCUUCCGUGCCGCAGUU
rnacentral:rRNA from 1 species